UUCAGCCUGGGUGGGACUUUUCAGUCCUUGGUAUGUCCUGCCUGGUAGGGUUCUUGUCAGAAGUUAGGCUUUAGUAGUGAGGAAGGAAGGAAACAGCAGGAAGCUCGAUAGGAACCAAUGUUCUGAGGAUGCUUAGCAAAUUCCUGUGUCUGACCCAGGUCCGUGCAGCUUAGAGCACGUGAGUGCAAUGUCUGACGUCAUCUGUGUAGUAACCUUGUGGCACUGGUCUAGAAGGCCCAGAAAGAACGUGACUGCCUGUCUGCAUGUAUUCAAUGACUUGCUGUCCUUGUCCAUUUAGCCUGCUCUAAUAAAGUACCGUAAAGUGUGUGGCUUGGAAACUGGAAACCUCACAAUUUGGAAGCAGUGGGGUUCAACAGCAAACGCUUGUGGAUUCAUUGUGGGCCUGUUUCCUGUCAUCACUUCUGCUGUCUGCAUCUUCACUGGGUAGGAGAGAGCCAGCAUUUUGUAAUUUUUUUUUUAAGUGAAGACACUGAUGUCACCCCCACCCCCACUCCUCAAAGUACCCUAUCCGGUAGCACCAGCUUCCAAUUUAGAAUUCAGCAAUCGAACUGAGGAGGGCACGAGGACAUUCUUAGCAUAGCACUCUCUGUGUGCCAGCUGACAUCUAAGACCUUGCUGUGAACAGAUGUCUUAGCCAGCCCAGGAACUCUCUGAAAACAACGGACGCCCUGUUAUCUGGAGCAGUGGGCAGAGAGAGUGUCCUACCUUGAACUCAGUACAACAGGAAGUAGCAGAAUCAGGAAGUGAUUCUCCAUCGCCUCACACUGUCGAAAACCCAGAAAGCAGAGGAAAUGAGGCUCUUUCUGCAUCUGUUCCAUAAAGCUGAAGAUAUGCGGCAUCCUGGCUGGAACAGUGAGGGAAUGAAGAAAGAACAGGCGCAUGUGCAGAGAAGCUGGGGUCACGUGGGCCACAGGCACUCUGAUGGAGUCGCACCAACAGGCAACAGCCGUCUGGAACCACGGCGUGGGGGAGAGGUCUCUGGGGGUAAGCGGUCUCAGGCUGAAAGAGCUGGGCCAGGAAGCUGCAGGUGCCAGUUUUGCAAAUACUAGAUAACAGUUCACCAGUGCUCGUACUUGUCAAGGCAGAAGAGACCAUGGAAGGGUGCUGCUUACUGACUUACUCUUCAUGACUGGUUCAGCCUGCUUAUAGAACCGAGGACCAGCAGCCAGGGGUGUUUCCACCCACAAUGGGCUGGGCUCUACCCUGCCAGUCACGAAUUGAGAAAAUGCCUUACAGCUGGAUCUUAUGGAGGCAUUGUCUCAACAACGUGGGUUCCCCCUCCUUUCAAGUAACUCCAGUUUGUGUCCGGCUGACCUAGGAUGAGCCAGCACAGCGUUAAACAAUGGGAGUUUAAUUUUCAACAGCAAGGAAGGGCUAUGGAUAGAACCUAUGACUCUAAGUGCUAUUCUAACAGAGAAAAACAGCAACUCAACCCCUGCUACGACCUCGUCCCUCCUAAACGCCGCAAAUGCUUCCACGUAAAAUAACGAACUUCAUUCAAAUAAUAACAAAAGUAAACCAACGACCUAGCUCCUGAUGGAUAGGCAAGUUCCAAUGUAAUAACACAAAGUAACAGCAAACCAAGACAUGUCCCCUCCAAACCCUACCCAUCCAGAGUAAUGUUCUACAACGAGAGCGACCUAGAUGGAAUAAGAAUCUAAAAAGCGUGACGAUAAAUCCACUCACAAGAGAUGAAAGACGGCGUAAACAAACAAAGCUGAAGGAAGCCCUGGAGAACACGAACGGCUGAAUGAAAUAAGGAGGUCAACGUAGUUUGUGAAUGGAAUUCAGUAAAGACAGAGAUGCCCCGGGGACAGCCGAAAAUGACAACUGCAGUAAAUGAGGUAAAGCCCCACGGAGAGAUCCCAGAGGCCAUCACAAGGACAAAGGCUCGGGACAUGAGGACAGGGGAGAGGAAUUGCUAUAUUCAUCCAAGGACAACAAUUAAAAGAUUUAAAAACGUAAAUGUAAGACGCAUUAUCUUUGGGACACCAUGAAAAGGUGACAUCUAAAGCUAUGCGCACAGUAUAAGGGAUGUUUCCUUGAAACUGAAACAGCCCCUCCAGGAAGCACUUAGGAGGGGAAGAGAAGGUCGUGUACCUGGGGAAUGGAAUCCGAGCCUUCUCGAGGCUCCUCCCCAGCUGUGUAGAAGCUGUUCACAGCUGCUGGGCUGGGAGCCAGACUCCGACCCGCUGAGCUGAGCUGCAGACACCUUCAUGAUCAUUGAACUAUCUGGGAGCUGAGCAGAGGACUCCAGGCUGGCAACUUUCCAGAGCACUCUCCCACGCUCUGGGACCACCAAAGGACUUGUAGAGGCCUGGGAACCUGCAUGCACCAGGUGAGAUCUUGGGCUCCAACAGAG
rnacentral:sRNA from 1 species